rnacentral:rRNA from 1 species
UACCUGGUUGAUCCUGCCAGUAGUCAUAUGCUUGUCUCAAAGAUUAAGCCAUGCAUGUCUAAGUAUGAGCUGUCAUACGGUGAAACUGCGAAUGGCUCAUUAUAACAGUUAUAGUUUACUUGAGGAAGAACUUACAUGGAUAACCGUGGUAACUCUAGAGCUAAUACAUGCACAAGAAGCCUUGGCUUCGUGUUUAUUAGAUUACACCGGACGGGGCAACCUGUUAGGCGAGUCAUGAUAACCGAGCGAAUCGCAAUAGCGAUGCAUCAUCCAAGUUCCUGCCCUAUCAGCUUGAUGGUUGUGUAUUGGACUACCAUUGCAGUCACGGGUAACGAGGAAUUAGGGUUCGAUUUCGGAGAGGGAGCCUGAGAAACGGCUACCACAUCUAAGGAAGGCAGCAGGCGCGCAAAUUACCCAAUGCCAAUACUGGUGAGGUAGUGACAAGAAAUAACAACGCGAGGCUUCUGUCUUGCGAUUGGAAUGAGUGCAAAUUAAAACUCUCAACAAUGAGCAACUGGAGGGAAAGUCUGGUGCCAGCAGCCGCGGUAAUACCAGCUCCAGUAGCGUAUAUUAAAGUUGUUGCAGUUGAAACGCUCGUAGUCUGACUUUUUUCCCAGUGGGAACAAGCCGCUCGCCUUGCUAAUCCAGUGGGUUGGUAAGUUCACGACGGCACGUCACCUUGAGAAAUUAGAGUGUUCAAGGCAGGCAUAGCCUGAAUACUGCAGCAUGGGAAUGGCACGCUUUUGCAAGCACAGUGCCGUGAUGUGUUAUGCAAGAGUCUAAUAGGGUCAGUCGUGGGGCAUCGCAUGGAUCGAGAGAAGGUGAAUUCUUGGACCGAUCCAUGGCAAACGAAAGCGAAAGCAUCUGCCAAGGAUGUCUUCCAUGAUCAAGACGAAGGUCAGGGUAUCGAAGACGAUCAGAUACCGUCGUAGUCCUGACUGUAAACUAUGCCGACUGGAGAUCCGAGAAGCAGCUACUGACUUCUUGAGGACUCUACGAGAAAUCAAAGUCUUUAGGUUCUGGGGGGAGUAUGGUCGCAAGGCUGAAACUUGAAGGAAUUGACGGAAGGGCACCACCAGGCGUGGAGCUUGCGGCUUAAUUUGACUCAACACGGGGAAACUUACCAGGUCAAGACAUGGAAAGGAUUGACAGGCUGGAUGCCCUUUCUCGAUUCCAUGGAUGGUGGUGCAUGGCCGUUCUUAGUUGGUGGAGUGAUCUGUCUGGUUGAUUCCGAUAACGAACGAGACCUUGGCCUACUAACUAGUGUUAAUGCUUAUGCGUUAGCAACUUCUUAGAGGGACUUCGGCGGUUACGUCGCGGAAGCUCGAGGCAAUAACAGGUCUGUGAUGCCCUUAGAUGUCCUGGGCCGCACGCGUGCUACAUUGAUACAGGCAGCGAGUUCCAAUGUCGAGAGACUAAGGUAAUCUCAAAACUGUAUCGUGCUGGGGACAGUCCCUUGGAAUUGUGGGGCUCCAACGAGGAAUGCCUAGUAAGUGCGAGUCAUCAGCUCGUGCUGAUUACGUCCCUGCCCUUUGUACACACCGCCCGUCGCUCCUACCGAUUUCGAGUGAUUAGGUGGGUCUCUUGGACUACAUCACUGUAGAAAGAGAGACAAAUCUGACCACUUAGAGGAAGGAGAAGUCGUAACAAGGUUUCCGUAGGUGAACCUGCAGAAGGAUC